GAUGAAGAACGUAGCGAAAUGCGAUACUUGGUGUGAAUUGCAGAAUCCCGUGAACCAUCGAGUCUUUGAACGCAAGUUGAGCCCGAAGCCACUAGGCCGAGGGCACGCCUGCCUGGGCGUCACACGUCGUUGCCCCCCCCCCAUCUACUCCUUCGGGAUUGCGGGGGGCGGAUGAUGGCCUCCCGUGCGCCUCGCCGCGCGGUUGGCAUAAAUACCAAGUCCUCGGCGACGCACGCCACGACAAUCGGUGGUUGCGAAACCUCGGUUGCCCGUCGUGUGCGUUCGUCGCGCAUCGAGGGCUCGAAAAAAUGCUCGGCUCCGGCUCGGCUUUCAACGCGACCCCAGGUCAGGCGGGGUUACCCGCUGAAUUUAAGCAUAUCAAUAAGCGGGGGA
rnacentral:misc_RNA from 1 species